AUCCAACUGGCGAGUCCCAAACAGGAUGAAAUACGCGUCUUGGAU
rfam:Schistosoma rodhaini strain Burundi genome assembly, scaffold: SROB_scaffold0001995